AGGUCUGUGAAGGUGUCUUGAGAAGGAUGCUGGAGAUAUCAGAAGUGCGAAUGCUGACAUGAGUAGCGAUAAAGGGAGUGAAAAGCUCCCUCGCCGAAAGCCCAAGGUUUCCUACGCAACGUUCAUCGGCGUAGGGUGAGUCGGCCCCUAAGGCGAGGCAGAAAUGCGUAGUCGAUGGGAAACAGGUCAAUAUUCCUGUACCGAUUCUAGAUGAGAUGUGGGGACGGAGAAGGUUAGGUCAGCCAUCUGUUGGAAUAGGUGGUUUAAGCGUGUAGGUGUGCCCCUUAGGCAAAUCCGGGGGGCUUAGCUGAGGCGUGACGACGAGGUGCUACGGCACUGAAGUGAUUGAUACCAAGCUUCCAGGAAAAGCCACUAAGCUUCAGUCUAGAAUUGACCGUACCGCAAACCGACACAGGUGGGCAGGAUGAAAAUUCUAAGGCGCUUGAGAGAACUCAGGAGAAGGAACUCGGCAAAUUAACACCGUAACUUCGGGAGAAGGUGUGCCCCGGUAGGUUGUAGCGCUUCGCGCGCGAAGGCCGAUGGGGUUGCAGUGAAAUGGUGGCUGCGACUGUUUAAUAAAAACACAGCUCUCUGCAAACACGAAAGUGGACGUAUAGGGAGUGACGCCUGCCCGGUGCCGGAAGGUUAAUUGAUGGGGUGCAAGCUCUUGAUCGAAGCCCCGGUAAACGGCGGCCGUAACGAUAACGGUCCUAAGGUAGCGAAAUUCCUUGUCGGGUAAGUUCCGACCUGCACGAAUGGCGUAACGAUGGCCACACUGUCUCCUCCUGAGACUCAGCGAAGUUGAAAUGUUUGUGAAGAUGCAAUCUCCCCGCGGCAAGACGGAAAGACCCCAUGAACCUUUACUGUAGCUUUGCAUUGGACUUUGAACCGGUCUGUGUAGGAUAGGUGGGAGACUAUGAAACCGGGACGCUAGUCUCGGUGGAGUCAACCUUGAAAUACCACCCUGGUUUGUUUGAGGUUCUAACCUUGAUCCGUGGAUCCGGAUCGGGGACCGUGCAUGGUGGGCAGUUUGACUGGGGCGGUCUCCUCCCAAAAGGUAACGGAGGAGUACGGAGGUACGCUUAGGGCGGUCGGACAUCGCCCAUAAAGUGCAAUGGCAAAAGCGUGCUUGACUGCGAGACCCACAAGUCGAGCAGGUGCGAAAGCAGGUCAUAGUGAUCCGGUGGUUCUGUAUGGAAGGGCCAUCGCUCAACGGAUAAAAGGUACUCUGGGGAUAACAGGCUUAUACCGCCCAAGAGUUCAUAUCGACGGCGGUGUUUGGCACCUCGAUGUCGGCUCAUCUCAUCCUGGGGCUGUAGCCGGUCCCAAGGGUAUGGCUGUUCGCCAUUUAAAGAGGUACGUGAGCUGGGUUUAAAACGUCGUGAGACAGUUUGGUCCCUAUCUGCCGUGGGCGCUGGAAAUUUGAAGGGGGCUGCUCCUAGUACGAGAGGACCGGAGUGGACGAACCUCUGGUGUACCGGUUAUGACGCCAGUCGUAUCGCCAGGUAGCUAUGUUCGGAAGAGAUAAACGCUGAAAGCAUCUAAGCGUGAAACUCGCCUUAAGAUAAGAUUUCCCGGAGUCUUGAACUCCUUAAAGGGUCGUCGAAGACCACGACGUUGAUAGGUCAGGUGUGGAAGCGCAGUAAUGCGUUAAGCUAACUGAUACUAAUUGCCCGUAAGGCUUG
rnacentral:rRNA from 1 species